CUCAUGGAUCUAUAAAUAUUUCAUGAGACUCCGUUUUCAAUCAAUCAACGAAAUUUCUACAAAGGGAUUACCACAUAAUCUAAAGUCUGCAUUCAACAUGAAAAUGCUUGGAUACCAUUUGUAUCAUUGGAUAGCUUUAUUGCUUUUUGGAAUUUCUGCUGUGACUUCAAAGACCUGCGGACAGACGCCAUGUGGAGAUACCAUUCCCAAGUUCUGCUGUGAUAAGAACAUGACGAGAAUAGAUUCCGGUCCUUGCUGCUGCCAUAUCAACGGGACAACCUCCUUUUCUGAUUGUCGCUCA